AUGGGAGCUUGCUCCCUGAAGUCAGCGCGGACGGGUGAGUAACACGUGGGCAACCUGCCUGUAAGACUGGGAUAACUUCGGGAAACCGGAGCUAAUACCGGAUAACACCGAGGACCUCCAUGGUCCUUGGUUUGAAAGAUGGCUUCGGCUAUCACUUACAGAUGGGCCCGCGGCGCAUUAGCUAGUUGGUGAGGUAACGGCUCACCAAGGCGACGAUGCGUAGCCGACCUGAGAGGGUGAU
rnacentral:rRNA from 1 species